GCCUCCUUAGCUCAGCUGGUAGAGCAACUGACUUGUAAUCAGUAGGUCGUUGGUUCGAUUCCGACAGGGGGCUCCA
rnacentral:tRNA from 1 species